rnacentral:rRNA from 1 species
ACGCUAUCUGGAGGUUACCGCGGCUGCUGGCACGGAGUUAGCCGGUGCUUCUUCUGUGAGUGAUGUCCUUCCUGCCGGUUAUUGACCCGCAGGCCUUCUUCCUCACUGAAAGUGCUUUACAACCCGAAGGCCUUCUUCACACACGCGGCAUGGCUGGAUCAGGGUUGCCCCCAUUGUCCAAUAUUCCCCACUGCUGCCUCCCGUAGGAGUCUGGGCCGUGUCUCAGUCCCAGUGUGGCUGAUCAUCCUCUCAGACCAGCUACGGAUCGUCGCCUUGGUGAGCCGUUACCUCACCAACCAGCUAAUCCGACAUAGGCUCAUCCGAUAGCGCGAGGCCCGAAGGUCCCCCGCUUUCCCCCGUAGGGCGUAUUCGGUAUUAGCCUGGGUUUCCCCAGGUUAUCCCCCACUACCGGGCAGAUUCCUAUGCAUUACUCACCCGUCCGCCGCUCGCCACCAGGGAGCAAGCUCCCCGUGCUGCCGCUCGACUUGCAUGUGUUAGGCCUGCCGCCAGCGUUCAAUCUGAACC